CGUAUUACAGAAUACUAACAUCGAAAAACUAUCGUCGAGUACGAGGAAGAGAUCGAUCAUCAGCGCAGACUGCUGGAUAUCGUUUGGAAACCGGAAAUAAAGCUACACAGGACAGAGCUCCAACAGCAACAUGUCUGUAAGGAGGAGGAGGUUCUCACUGACCAGCAGCUCUGUGACCAGGAGAGGAACUCCAGUGUUGGACAGCCGUUUGAAACCCGAAAUAAAGCUACACAGGAUAGACAUCCGUCAGCAACAUGUCUGUAAGGAGAAGGAGGUUCUCACUGACCAGCAGCUCUGUGACCAGAAGAGGAACUCCAGUCUGGACCAGGAGGACCCAGAGCCUCCACAGACUAA